UCCGGACUCGCCCGCGGGCGGCCACGUUGCGUGCGCUGCUUCCAGGCGAUUCUAGUCGAGGAGGUUGACAAAGGGGACUGAAACCGCCAUCUCAGAUUCACAGCUUCUCUGGAGGCUGAAUGUCAAAGUCCACUUGACAACAUCCAGGUGCUGGUGUCAGCAAAGCCAUGCUUCUGGAUUAGUGUGGUAAGACAAAUUUUAUUUUUUUUAAUUGUUAAAAAAUUUUUAAUGUUUAUUUAUUUUUGAGAGAGAGACACAGAGCAAGAGCAGGGGAGGGGCAGAGAGAGAGAGGGAGACACAGAAUCGGAAGCAGGCUCCAGGCUCUGAGCU